rfam:Aedes albopictus isolate Foshan contig25992, whole genome shotgun sequence.
UAGCCUAGUGGUUAAGGCUAUGGAUCGCCAUUCCGGAGACAACGGGUUCGAUUCCCGU